rnacentral:rRNA from 1 species
UUAAAUUGAAGAGUUUGAUCAUGGCUCAGAUUGAACGCUGGCGGCAGGCCUAACACAUGCAAGUCGAACGGUAACAGRAAGCAGCUUGCUGCUUUGCUGACGAGUGGCGGACGG